rnacentral:rRNA from 2 species
CCCUAAAAGCUUUAUUUUAAGUAAGUGCGUUUUGCUGAUCUUUAAAGUAAUUUAGCUGGGGUAGCUGGUUUAAUUAAACUAAAUCGGUUAAGAGACUCUUUGAGAGGUUGAAGGUCCUUUAUAUAAGGAUACAUAGAUACAGUUACUUUAGGGAUAACAGCGUGAUAGUUUUGGUGAGAUCUUAUCUAUAAGGCUGAUUGCGACCUCGAUGUUGAAUUAUAAGUUCUUGCAGUGCAGCAG